rnacentral:snoRNA from 1 species
UCUCUGCCUCUAGAUGGGUUACAGGUGGCUAUUGUGUCACAUGCACAUCGGUGAGUGGCAGAGAGGAGAGAGGCUAUGUCUGUGCUCACCUGUGAACAUCUGAGCAAUUAGGAGUCCAAAGU